CUACGGAGGGUGCAAGCGUUAAUCGGAAUUACUGGGCGUAAAGCGUACGUAGGCGGUCCGUUAAGUUAGAUGUGAAAGCCCCGGGCGUAACCUGGGAACUGCAUUUAAAACUGGCGAACUAGAGUUGAGUAGAGGGGAGUGGAAUUUCAGGUGUAGCGGUGAAAUGCGUAGAGAUCUGAAGGAACACCAGUGGCGAAGGCGACUCCCUGGACUCGAACUGACGCUGAGGUACGAAAGCGUGGGUAGCAAACGGGAUUAGAAACCCUAGUAGUCC
rnacentral:rRNA from 1 species